rnacentral:misc_RNA from 1 species
GAUGAAGAACGCAGCGAACGUGCGAAACGUAAUGUGAAUUGCAGAAUUCAGUGAAUCAUCGAAUCUUUGAACGCAUCUUGCGCUCCUUGGUAUUCCGAGGAGCAUGCCUGUUUGAGUGUCGUGAAUACUCUCAACUUCAACCCUUUUUUCGGAAAGGGAGGAAGGUUGGACUUGGGUGUUUGUUGAAGUGCGAGCUUCGACUCAUCCUAAAUGCAUUAGCGAUCUGCCUCGAUCACACACAAUGUGAUAAUUAAAACUAAAGCAUUGUUUAAUGAUCAAGUCGAGACUGCUUCUAACUGUCGCAAGACAAUAACGUGUAUACAUUUGUGCAUGUCAUUUGACCUCAAAUCAGGUAGGACUACCCGCUGAACUUAAGCAUAUCAAUAAGCGGAGGA